UAUUUUAAAUGAAGUUUCACUCAGUGAUUCAGUGUUAUUAAGUUUAGUGUUUGAUAUGUUAAAACGAAAGUUUGAUUUUGGUGAUUCAGUGUUCUUUAAUUCAAGGUUACAUAUUUUUAACGAGGUUUAAUUUUGGUGCAUCAGUUGCAGGCUCUGCUGAGUUGCAGGGCUCUGCUGCAAUUGUUAAUUCCUUGGUCAUCUGCUGCAAUAGUUCAGCAUGAAGCUCAUUUUAAUUUAUCAUUUUAUAUGAGAUGUCAAAAAGAUUGUUUAACAUGCUUUCUUCAAUUUCAAUUUUCUAUAUUGUAUAUGAGGACUCAGUAAAGUCAAACCGUGGAAGCAAACCUUUAGGAAAUUACUAUAGAAAGAAAAAAGAUGAGUUAAAGAUCGGGGACCAGCCGUAAAUUACUAUAGUGAGAAAAAUUGAAGGCGCAAUUGCGAGAAGAGGGUAGUAGUGGCGGACAAAGACUAUGAUGCUUCAGUAUUUUAAUGGCACCGUUGCCAUCAGUGAUCCUGAAUCACCAGUAUCGACUUCAUUUUCAUGUUUUAAUUUAGCUCCCAGGUGCCAUCCUUGCGCAAGAAAGUUCACAUGGCCAAAAGUUACGGACAAGUCAACUGUCCCCACAAUAUUUUUGACUGGUUAACGGGUCAUUUGACCUUAAAUUGAAAUAUUUCACUGUUGGUUACCUUACAUAUAAGUUCUUCAAAUUGGACCAGAACUUUCGGUUUGUUAAUAGUCAAGAAAGAGUGUUUGCUAUUCAAGUGUUCGAGCUCCACAGAUUGAUAAAGUCACAAAACCGACUUUUGGGUUUCAUGCGCCUUCAAGAUUAGAAGGUAUCCCCCAAUCUCGACCGGAUUUACCCGAAACCUCACAUUUGAUGAAGAUACUGAGAAAUGUGGGGGCAGAGCGGCCUAAUUGGCCCCACGAGGACGAGCCAUUCAUGGGCGUGCACCAAAUGAGGCCAACAUCGCCAUCUCAUAUGGCGUAACCUGCGAAU